rnacentral:rRNA from 1 species
UACAUGGGGUGCAAACGUUGCUCGGAAUCAUUGGGCGUAAAGCGCGCGUAGGCGGUUACUUAAGUCGAAUGUGAAAGCCCUCGGCUUAACUGAGGAAGUGCAUCCGAAACUGAGUAGCUAGAGUACGAAAGAGGGUCGCGGAAUUCCCGGUGUAGAGGUGAAAUUCGUAGAUAUCGGGAGGGACACCGGUGGCGAAGGCGGCGACCUGGGUCGAGACUGACGCUGAGGCGCGAAAGCGUGGGGAGCAAACAGG